rnacentral:lncRNA from 1 species
GGGGACCCGGGAACUCGUGCCAAGUGACUGGUGCUCGCUUCAGGCUCCUGCUACCUUCUGCGGGCGGAACGUGGGUGUCCCGGGAAGGGACGGACCCCAUCUCUACUAUGCCGCAAGCGCGUUGUGUCAACAGGCUGGCUGUGGACGGCCCGAUGAGCGUUACUUGAUUUUGUACUUUCGGCCACCUCCAAUUUUCUCAGAACGCAACAUAAGAAAANGAUUCUGGAAUUGAACCUGGGUUCCCACGCUUGUGCAGCCGUCUCCCCAGCCCCCGUUAAUACUGUGUCUGAAGUAGCCGCUCUUCUGAAGUCAGCUCUGCCUUCUACUUGACACGCCUUCCCUUACUCACUUCUCACUUCAUUUCCUUACUGCGUUUGCCUCCAUUCAGUGUUGAUAUUUUAAAAUUGAGAUCUGUUAUUAUUUUGUCAUGUAGCCCAGGCUGACCAAGAUCUUGCCUCCCUUUAAGCUUAUUUUAGGAAAAUUAUGCUUACUUGUAGGGUGCUUGUGACAGUGUCACCCAUACACACACUGUAUGACAUUAGAUUAUGCUAAGCCUGCCAUCUCUAUAAAUUCUUAGUUGUGAAACUCAAA